rnacentral:rRNA from 1 species
GAUGAACGCUAGCGAUAGGCUUAACACAUGCAAGUCGAGGGGCAGCAUGGUCUUAGCUUGCUCAGACUGAUGGCGACCGGCGCACGGGUGCGUAACGCGUAUGCAACUUGCCUCACAGAGGGGGAUAACCCGUCGAAAGACGGACUAAUACCGCGUACACUCCAUCUUGGGCAUCCAAGGUAGAGGAAAUGAAAUUCGCUGUGAGAUAGGCAUGCGUCCCAUUAGCUAGUUGGUGAGGUAACGGCUCACCAAGGCGACGAUGGGUAGGGGAACUGAGAGGUUGAACCCCCACACUGGUACUGAGACACGGACCAGACUACUACGGGAGGCAGCAGUGAGGAAUAUUGGUCAAUGGGCGAGAGCCUGAACCAGCCAAGUCGCGUGAAGGAUGACUGUCUUAUGGAUUGUAAACUUCUUUUAUACGGGAAUAACAAGAGUCACGUGUGACUCCCUGCAUGUACCGUAUGAAUAAGCAUCGGCUAACUCCGUG